rnacentral:rRNA from 1 species
CCUACGGGGGGCUGCAGUGGGGAAUAUUGGGCAAUGGAGGAAACUCUGACCCAGCAACGCCGCGUGAAUGAUGAAGGUCUUCUGAUUGUAAAGUUCUUUUCUUAGGGCAGUAGAGAGUGACGGUACCUUAGGAAUAAGCCUCGGCUAACUACGUGCCAGCAGCCGCGGUAAUACGUCGGAGGCAAGCGUUAUCCGGAAGGGCUGGGCGUAAAGGGUGCGUAGGUGGUUUGACAAGUUGGUAGCGUAAGUCCGGGGCUCAACCUCGGCAGUACUACAAAGACUGUCGGACGUGAGUGCAGGAGGGGUAAAUGGAAUUCCUAGUGUAGCGGUGGAAUGCGUAGAUAGUAGGAGGAACACCAGUGGCGAAGGCGAUUUGCUGGACUGUAACUGACACUGAGGCACGAAAGCGUGGGGAGCAAACAGGAUUAGAUACCCCGGUAGUC